AUAUCAAUAAGCGGAGGAAAAGAAACCAACAGGGAUUACCUCAGUAACGGCGAGUGAAGCGGUAACAGCUCAAAUUUAAAAUCUGGCCUUUGCAGGCCCGAGUUGUAAUUUGUAGAGGAUGUUUCGGGCGAUACCUUGGCUUAAGUUUCUUGGAAUAGAAUGCCAUAGAGGGUGAGAGUCCCGUCUGGUGCCUCUGGUGAUGUCCAUGUGAAACUCCUUCGACGAGUAGAGUUGUUUGGGAAUGCAACUCAAAAUGGGUGGUAAAUUUCAUCUAAAGCUAAAUAUUGGCCAGAGACCGAUAGCGCACAAGUAGAGUGAUCGAAAGAUGAAAAGCACUUUGAAAAGAGAGUUAAACAGUACGUGAAAUUGUUGAAAGCGAAGCGUUUACAACCAGACUUGUACACAGAGGCUCCCCUGGCCUUCUGGCCGGGUUAUUCCGCCGUGUCCAGGCCAAUAUCGGUUUUGGUGGCUGGUUAAAGGCUCUGGGAAUGUAUCUUCCCCCGGGAAGACUUAUAGCCUAGGGUGUCAUACAGCCUACCGAGACUGAGGAACGCGCUCCGGCUCGGAUAUUGGCGUAAUGGUUGUCAACGA
rnacentral:rRNA from 1 species